UGGGGCUAGUGAUGCAGGACG
rnacentral:miRNA from 1 species